ensembl:miRNA
AGAGCAUCGUGCUUGACCUUCCACGCUCCCGUGUCCACUAGCAGGCAGGUUUUCUGACACAGGCUGCGGGAUUCAGGACAGUGCAAUAUGGAGA